AUACGUAGGGAGCGAGCGUUGUCCGGAAUUACUGGGUGUAAAGGGAGCGUAGGCGGGAGUGCAAGUCAGAUGUGAAAUACAUGGGCUCAACCCAUGGGCUGCAUUUGAAACUGCAUUUCUUGAGUGAAGUAGAGGUAAGCGGAAUUCCUGGUGUAGCGGUGAAAUGCGUAGAUAUCAGGAGGAACACCGGUGGCGAAGGCGGUUUACUGGGCUUUUACUGACGCUGAGGCUCGAAAGCGUGGGGAGCAAACAGGAUUAGGUACCCUGGUAGUCCACGCUGUAAACGAUGAUUACUAGGUGUGGGGGGACUGACCCCUUCCGUGCCGCAGUUAACACAAUAAGUAAUCCACCUGGGGAGUACGGCCGCAAGGUUGAAACUCAAAUGAAUUGACGGGG
rnacentral:rRNA from 1 species